rnacentral:rRNA from 1 species
UCGGGAAUCUUCCGCAAUGGGCGCAAGCCUGACGGAGCGACGCCGCGUGAGCGAUGAAGGCCUUCGGGUUGUAAAGCUCUGUGGGGAGGGAAGAAUAAGGGCAAGUUAAUAGCUUGUCUGAUGACGGUACCUCCUUAGCAAGCACCGGCUAACUCUGUGCCAGCAGCCGCGGUAAGACAGAGGGUGCAAACGUUGUUCGGAUUUACUGGGCGUAAAGCGCGUGUAGGCGGCUUUGCAAGUCGGAUGUGAAAGCCCACGGCUCAACCGUGGAAGUGCAUCCGAAACUGCAUGGCUUGAGUCUCGGAGAGGAAGGUGGAAUGCUUGGUGUAGAGGUGAAAUUCGUAGAUAUCAAGCAGAACACCUGCGGCGAAGGCGGCCUUCUGGACGAUGACUGACGCUGAGACGCGAAAGCGUGGGGAGCAAACAGG